rnacentral:lncRNA from 1 species
GGGGGUAAAGGCAGGGGUUUAAGAGACAAUUGCCCCAGAAAACAAGGUGUUUUCCAACCACAAAGAGCCGCCCACCCAACUAUAGUAUGACCCCUUAUCUACGGGAUCAAGAUCCACUGAUUCACUUAUUUAAGAUCUGAAAAUAUUUUAUAAAAACAAUAAAGUUACCAGAACUGGCCACUAGAGGAAGCCAGAGACCAUGACUAGAUUUUCACAAUGUCAUUACCAGAAGUGGCCACUAGAGAGAGACAGAGGUCACGCUGUGUAUCAUGUUCACUAUUAAAAUAGUGUACUUUGUUUUUCAGCGUUUGUCCUACUGUAUUUGUAGAACAUACAUCUGCUAGAAAAAAGGCCCAUGACCCCUUAUUUUCCUCUGGAGUGACUGUGUGACACAGCACAACUCCCACUUUGCAGGCCGAGGGACUUCGGUUUUCCUGGGCAGAGGGAAAGGGCUGUGUUUUCUUCGCCUUGACCGCCUGUUGUGCAAGUGGAUGCAGCCAGGUGGGAAGCAGCUUGAGCUUUACUUACAUGCCUGCAUCCUCAGACCGGGCGGUAAAAAAAGAGAAGCCCCCGUACGAGGCUGAGAGGCAGAAAUCUGCAAGCAAAAAAGCGUAGAGCUUCCACCUGCUCUGAAGUUUGCAGAUUGAGCUGCUCUUACAGGGACCUUUCCAGGGCCCACUGCAAAGGCUGAAGGGAUCUGGGGCACUGCCUCUUGCAGGAGGAAAGGAUUGCCCUUUCGCCUAAGAGCUGGCAGCGGCAAGCCAUGCAUCCAUCGGCCCCGAGUUUUAUUCGAUUCGGCUGACGCCGUUUUACCUUUGUUUCGUCCCCUCGUUGUGUUUGCCGUGGGAGGGAGGGCUUGGGAUGUUUUGCGUUUCUAGAAGGGUGGGUUGGUUUGUACUUUGGCCUCUUGGACGAAGGGCUUAGGAUGGGGUGGGGAAGAGCGAGAGAGAGAGAGAGAGAGACAGCCGAGCAGAGCCCAGCCGCAGGUGCAGGAGAAGCCGCCCUUGGCCGUCUCGAGCGUCGUCCCCUCGUUGUGUUUGCCGUGGGAGGGAGGGCUUGGGAUGUUUUGCGUUUCUAGAAGGGUGGGUUGGUUUGUACUUUGGCCUCUUGGACGAAGGGCUUAGGAUGGGGUGGGGAAGAGCGAGAGAGAGAGAGAGAGAGACAGCCGAGCAGAGCCCAGCCGCAGGUGCAGGAGAAGCCGCCCUUGGCCGUCUCGAGCGAACCCAGCCGGGGUGUGGUCCGUUUUGUAAUGUGGUUCCUUUGUACUGUUCCUUUAGAUCCUUCGCUUCUUCCACUCUUUAUCUGUGAUGUUUUCUGUGUUUUUGUCAAAUAAAUUAUUCUAGUUUGUUAACCUGAGGGGAAGA